UACGUAGGGUGCGAGCGUUGUCCGGAAUUACUGGGCGUAAAGAGCUCGUAGGUGGUUUGUCGCGUUGUUCGUGAAAACCUGAGGCUUAACCUUGGGCGUGCGGGCGAUACGGGCAGACUGGAGUACUGCAGGGGAGACUGGAAUUCCUGGUGUAGCGGUGGAAUGCGCAGAUAUCAGGAGGAACACCGGUGGCGAAGGCGGGUCUCUGGGCAGUAACUGACGCUGAGGAGCGAAAGCGUGGGUAGCAAACAGG
rnacentral:rRNA from 1 species